UACGGAGGGUGCAAGCGUUACUCGGAAUCACUGGGCGUAAAGAGCGCGUAGACGGCUGAGCAAGCCUGAAGUGAAAGGCGGGGGCCCAACCCCCGGACUGCUUUGGGAACUGUACGGCUGGAGUGCAGGAGAGGUAAGCGGAAUUCCUAGUGUAGCGGUGAAAUGCGUAGAUAUUAGGAGGAACACCAGUGGCGAAGGCGGCUUACUGGACUGUAACUGACGUUGAGGCUCGAAAGCGUGGGGAGCAAACAGG
rnacentral:rRNA from 1 species